rnacentral:lncRNA from 10 species
UCCAAAGUCAGAAUUAGAAGCCCUUCUUCUAAAGAGGACUGUUUAUUUUCCAUUUCAUUGGCAUAGCCGAUGGGGAAUUUCCUGCACUCUUCCUUGAAGAUAAAGCCGUUAAGAUGGAUGGAGACAGAAGGAGCUUCCUAUAGGUUGAGAAAAAUUAACCCCUCUGUACCUGAGAAAGAAGCAGAAAUGAUUGUACUUCUCACCUAGAAAUUGAAAUGGAAAAGCAGUUUUUAACUCAGAACAAAGAGACCUGAAGUUUCAUGUUCUUUGCAGGCAGAAAGAUACGUCUUGGAGAGAAACAAGAUUGAGAGCCAGGAGCAGUGGCGUGCAUUAACCAUUUUUGUGGUAGAUUCCCAGGUUUCUAUUGGAAACAGACAAACCACCUCUUCUUCUCUCUGCUCGGGAUCCUAGCACAAACGAAGCACAAGCACAGAGUGCUGGCAUGCUCUGGAUGUGACUCUCCAGGGAACAAAGGAAGAUGGACCUGGCCUGAUGUGACUUUUAUCUGAAUACUCACCUCAUUGUUGCUCUCAAAUGUGGGUUCUAACUUGUCCAUGGCUCUGUCAAGGAUGUGCAGAAGCCCAUUGGAAGCAAUGAUGUCCCCUUGUAUAAUUUUUACCUUCUUUUUGCCUCCAUGGAGUUUAAGCUUUAUUUGAUUGUCCUAAAACACCAAAGAAAGAUAAAAUAAGAUUACUAUGGUGUCCUGGAAGGAGCAAGCACUGGAGUAGAGUCAGAAGUCUUGAGUCCUUGGGCUUUGAUAUUUAUUGGCAAUGUGAUUUUGGAUAAGUCACUUAAUCUAAAGUGGGGAUGAAAGUGUCUGCUUUGUUAACCUCACAGGGUUUUCAUUAAGAUCAAAUGAUAUGAUGUGUGAAAGCACUGACAACUAUAUAUGCUAAACCUGGGCAAGGUAUUAUCAAGCUCUUCUCCAGCAGACUGCAAGCUUCAUAAGGACAAAACUAUUUAAUUUACUAUAAAUUCAUCACUCACUUUAGUGUCUUGCACAGAGAAAGCACACAAUAAAAUUAUUUGUGGAAUAAAU